CGACCAGGGCACACCGUGCUAAUACAAGGGUUGUACCUAGCGAUAGUGCUAAUCAAAGCCGAUCGUAGUCCGGAUGAGUCUGCAACUCGACUCCUGAAGUCAAUCGCUAGUAUCGCGGAUCAGAAUGCCGCGGUGAAUACGUUCCCGGGCCUUGUACACACCGCCCGUCACACCAUGGGAGUUUGUUGCACCAGAAGUAGGUAGUCUAACCGCAAGGAGGACGCUUACCACGGUGUCGGCACAUGACUGGGGUGAAGUCGUAACAAGGUGGCCGUAGCCGUAGGGGAACCUGCGGUUGGAUCACCUCCUUUA
rnacentral:rRNA from 1 species